rnacentral:rRNA from 1 species
UCGGGAAUUUUGGGCAAUGGGGGAAACCCUGACCCAGCAACGCCGCGUGAAGGAUGAAGUAUUUCGGUAUGUAAACUUCGAAAGAAUAGGAAGAAUAAAUGACGGUACUAUUUAUAAGGUCCGGCUAACUACGUGCCAGCAGCCGCGGUAAUACGUAGGGACCAAGCGUUGUUCGGAUUUACUGGGCGUAAAGGGCGCGUAGGCGGCAUGACAAGUCACUUGUGAAAUCUCUGGGCUUAACCCAGAACGGCCAAGUGAUACUGUCGCGCUAGAGUGCAGAAGGGGCAAUCGGAAUUCUUGGUGUAGCGGUGAAAUGCGUAGAUAUCAAGAGGAACACCUGAGGUGAAGACGGGUUGCUGGGCUGACACUGACGCUGAGGCGCGAAAGCCAGGGGAGCAAACGGGAUUAGAUACCCUGUAGUCCCUGAGCGGGCUGGCAAGGCGCAU